rnacentral:rRNA from 1 species
CAGUCGCCGCGGUAAUACGUGGGUAGCAAGCGUUGUCCGGAAUUAUUGGGCGUAAAGGGCUCGCAGGCGGUUUCUUAAGUCUGAUGUGAGAGCCCCCGGCUCAACCGGGGAGGGUCAUUGGAAACUGGGAAACUUGAGUGCGGAAGAGGAGAGUGGAAUUCCACGUGUAGCGAUGAAAUGCGUAGAGAUGUGGAGGAACACCAGUGGCGGAGGCGACUCUCUGGUCUGUAACUGACGCUGAGGAGCGAAAGCGUGGGGAGCGAACAGGAUUAGAUACCCGCGUAGUCCCUGUCUCUUAUAC